rnacentral:rRNA from 1 species
UACGGAGGGUGCAAGCAUUGAUCGGAAUUACUGGGCGUAAAGGGCGCGCAGGCGGUCAGGAAAGUCAGAUGUGAAAUUCCGGGGCUCAACCCCGGAGCUGCAUUUGAAACUUCCUGGCUAGAGUUCAGUUAGGGAAAACGGAAUUCCACGUGUAGCGGUGAAAUGCGUAGAUAUGUGGAAGAACACCGGUGGUGAAGACGGUUUUCUGGGCUGAUACUGACGCUGAGGAGCGAAAGCAAGGGGAGCAAACAGG